GCCCAGCUAGCACAGUCGGCAGAGCAUGGGACUCUUAAUACCAGGGUCGUGGCUUUGAGCCCCAUGUUGGGUG
rfam:Tauraco erythrolophus contig83566, whole genome shotgun sequence.